UACGGAGGGGGCUAGCGUUGUUCGGAAUUACUGGGCGUAAAGCGUACGUAGGCGGCUUUGUAAGUUAGAGGUGAAAGCCCGGGGCUCAACUCCGGAAUUGCCUUUAAGACUGCAUCGCUUGAAUCAUGGAGAGGUGAGUGGAAUUCCGAGUGUAGAGGUGAAAUUCGUAGAUAUUGGGAGGAACACCGGUGGCGAAGGCGGUGGUCUGGGCCGGAACUGACGCUGAGGAGCGAAAGCGUGGGGAGCGAACAGG
rnacentral:rRNA from 1 species